rnacentral:rRNA from 1 species
ACGGGUGAGUAAUGCCUAGGAAUCUGCCUGGUAGUGGGGGAUAACGCUCGGAAACGGACGCUAAUACCGCAUACGUCCUACGGGAGAAAGCAGGGGACCUUCGGGCCUUGCGCUAUCAGAUGAGCCUAGGUCGGAUUAGCUAGUUGGUGAGGUAAUGGCUCACCAAGGCGACGAUCCGUAACUGGUCUGAGAGGAUGAUCAGUCACACUGGAACUGAGACACGGUCCAGACUCCUACGGGAGGCAGCAGUGGGGAAUAUUGGACAAUGGGCGAAAGCCUGAUCCAGCCAUGCCGCGUGUGUGAAGAAGGUCUUCGGAUUGUAAAGCACUUUAAGUUGGGAGGAAGGGCAUUAACCUAAUACGUUAGUGUUUUGACGUUACCGACAGAAUAAGCACCGGCUAACUCUGUGCCAGCAGCCGCGGUAAUACAGAGGGUGCAAGCGUUAAUCGGAAUUACUGGGCGUAAAGCGCGCGUAGGUGGUUUGUUAAGUUGGAUGUGAAAUCCCCGGGCUCAACCUGGGAACUGCAUUCAAAACUGACAAGCUAGAGUAUGGUAGAGGGUGGUGGAAUUUCCUGUGUAGCGGUGAA